GUACUGAUGAGGAGUCCCAGACUAGGACGAAGCAGCUUUCCAGUAC
rfam:Trichobilharzia regenti genome assembly, scaffold: TRE_scaffold0045581